rnacentral:rRNA from 1 species
GANAACGCUGGCGGGCGUGCUUAACACAUGCAAGUCGAACGGGGCGAAGUGAUAGCUUGCUAUUAUGGAGCCUAGUGGCAAACGGGUGAGUAACGCGUAGGCAACCUGCCCUUCAGAUGGGGACAACACCUCGAAAGGGGUGCUAAUACCGAAUGACGUUUCCUAGUCGCAUGACCUGGAAACCAAAGGCCGGGCAACCGGUCACUGAAGGAUGGACCCGCGUCAGAUUAGCUGGUUGGUGGUGUAACGGACCACCAAGGCAACGAUCUGUAGCCGGACUGAGAGGUUGAACGGCCACAUUGGGACUGAGACACGGCCCAAACUCCUACGGGAGGCAGCAGGUGGGGAAUAUUGCACAAUGGGGGAAACCCUGAUGCAGCGACGCCGCGUGGAGGAAGAAGGUUUUCGGAUUGUAAACUCCUGUCGUUAGGGACGAUAAUGACGGUACCUAACAAGAAAGCACCGGCUAACUACGUG